rnacentral:rRNA from 1 species
CGAUGAAGAACGCAGCGAAAUGCGAUACGUAGUGUGAAUUGCAGAAUUCCGCGAAUCAUCGAGUCUUUGAACGCAAGUUGCGCCCGAGGCUUGUCCAAGGGCAUUCCUGUCAGAGCGUCAUC